UACGGAGGGGGCUAGCGUUGUUCGGAAUUACUGGGCGUAAAGCGCACGUAGGCGGUUUUGUAAGUCAGAGGUGAAAGCCCGGGGCUCAACCCUGGAAUUGCCUUUGAGACUGCAUCACUUGAUCGUCGGAGAGGUGAGUGGAAUUCCGAGUGUAGAGGUGAAAUUCGAUAGAUAUUCGGUAAGGAAACACCACGUGGGCGGAAGGACGG
rnacentral:rRNA from 1 species